AAAAAUACGACCUAUUUACAAUAUAUCAAAUUAUGUACAUUGAGCAACAAUGGAAUAAUUUUCUUCAUCACAAUGAAUUAGUGAAACGAAAAGUUUUAUAUACAAAUAACAAUAUUAAAAUUUGAAAACGUCUACUUAACAACAAAGAAAAGCUUCAUUAGUCUCUAGAAAUAAUACACUUUAAAAUGAUCAUAUGUCAUACAAUGAAAA
rnacentral:lncRNA from 1 species